rnacentral:tRNA from 1 species
CGGAAAAUAGCUCAGCUUGGUAGAGCACCUGCUUUUGGAGCAGGGGGUCGCAGGUUCGAAUCCUGCUUUUCCGACCA